rnacentral:rRNA from 1 species
UUUUUUUUUUUUUUUUUUCUUUUCGCAGACGAACGCUGGCGGCGUGCCUAAUACAUGCAAGUCGAGCGGACAGAAGGGAGCUUGCUCCCGGAUGUUAGCGGCGGACGGGUGAGUAACACGUGGGUAACCUGCCUGUAAGACUGGGAUAACUCCGGGAAACCGGAGCUAAUACCGGAUAGUUCCUUGAACCGCAUGGUUCAAGGAUGAAAGACGGUUUCGGCUGUCACUUACAGAUGGACCCGCGGCGCAUUAGCUAGUUGGUGGGGUAAUGGCUCACCAAGGCGACGAUGCGUAGCCGACCUGAGAGGGUGAUCGGCCACACUGGGACUGAGACACGGCCCAGACUCCUACGGGAGGCAGCAGUAGGGAAUCUUCCGCAAUGGACGAAAGUCUGACGGAGCAACGCCGCGUGAGUGAUGAAGGUUUUCGGAUCGUAAAGCUCUGUUGUUAGGGAAGAACAAGUGCGAGAGUAACUGCUCGCACCUUGACGGUACCUAACCAGAAAGCCACGGCUAACUACGUGCCAGCAGCCGCGGUAAUACGUAGGUGGCAAGCGUUGUCCGGAAUUAUUGGGCGUAAAGGGCUCGCAGGCGGUUUCUUAAGUCUGAUGUGAAAGCCCCCGGCUCAACCGGGGAGGGUCAUUGGAAACUGGGAAACUUGAGUGCAGAAGAGGAGAGUGGAAUUCCACGUGUAGCGGUGAAAUGCGUAGAGAUGUGGAGGAACACCAGUGGCGAAGGCGACUCUCUGGUCUGUAACUGACGCUGAGGAGCGAAAGCGUGGGGAGCGAACAGGAUUAGAUACCCUGGUAGUCCACGCCGUAAACGAUGAGUGCUAAGUGUUAGGGGGUUUCCGCCCCUUAGUGCUGCAGCUAACGCAUUAAGCACUCCGCCUGGGGAGUACGGUCGCAAGACUGAAACUCAAAGGAAUUGACGGGGGCCCGCACAAGCGGUGGAGCAUGUGGUUUAAUUCGAAGCAACGCGAAGAACCUUACCAGGUCUUGACAUCCUCUGACAACCCUAGAGAUAGGGCUUUCCCUUCGGGGACAGAGUGACAGGUGGUGCAUGGUUGUCGUCAGCUCGUGUCGUGAGAUGUUGGGUUAAGUCCCGCAACGAGCGCAACCCUUGAUCUUAGUUGCCAGCAUUCAGUUGGGCACUCUAAGGUGACUGCCGGUGACAAACCGGAGGAAGGUGGGGAUGACGUCAAAUCAUCAUGCCCCUUAUGACCUGGGCUACACACGUGCUACAAUGGACAGAACAAAGGGCUGCAAGACCGCAAGGUUUAGCCAAUCCCAUAAAUCUGUUCUCAGUUCGGAUCGCAGUCUGCAACUCGACUGCGUGAAGCUGGAAUCGCUAGUAAUCGCGGAUCAGCAUGCCGCGGUGAAUACGUUCCCGGGCCUUGUACACACCGCCCGUCACACCACGAGAGUUUGCAACACCCGAAGUCGGUGAGGUAACCUUUAUGGAGCCAGCCGCCGAAGGUGGGGCAGAUGAUUGGGGUGAAG